GACGAACGCUGGCGGCGUGCUUAACACAUGCAAGUCGAGCGAUGAAGCACCUUCGGGUGUGAAUUAGCGGCGAACGGGUGAGGAACACGUGAAGAAUCUGCCUUCAACUCUGGGAUAACUCCGGGAAACCGGGGCUAAUACCGGAUAUGAGCCUUGAUCGCAUGAUCGGGGCUGGAAAGUCUUUCGGUUGAAGAUGACUUCGCGGCCUAUCAGCUUGUUGGUGAGGUAAUGGCUCACCAAGGCGACGACGGGUAGCCGGCCUGAGAGGGCGACCGGCCACACUGGGACUGAGACACGGCCCAGACUCCUACGGGAGGCAGCAGUGGGGAAUAUUGGGCAAUGGAGGAAACUCUGACCCAGCGACGCCGGGUGAGGGAUGAAGGCCUUCGGGUUGUAAACCUCUUUCAGUAGGGAAGAAGCGAAAGUGACGGUACCUACAGAAGAAGCACCGGCUAACUAUGUGCCAGCAGCCGCCGUAA
rnacentral:rRNA from 1 species